AGAUUGAACGCUGGCGGCAGGCCUAACACAUGCAAGUCGAGCGGUAGAGAGGUGCUUGCACCUCUUGAGAGCGGCGGACGGGUGAGUAAUGCCUAGGAAUCUGCCUAGUGGUGGGGGAUAACGUUCGGAAACGGACGCUAAUACCGCAUACGUCCUACGGGAGAAAGCGGGGGACCUUCGGGCCUCGCGCCAUUAGAUGAGCCUAGGUCGGAUUAGCUAGUUGGUGAGGUAAUAGCUCACCAAGGCGACGAUCCGUAACUGGUCUGAGAGGAUGAUCAGUCACACUGGAACUGAGACACGGUCCAGACUCCGUACGGGAGCAGCAGUGGGGAAUAUUGGACAAGUGGG
rnacentral:rRNA from 1 species